AAAUGUACAUGGAUAACUGUGGUAAUUCUAGAGCUAAUACAUGCAGGAAGCCCUGACCUCUUGUAGGCACGGGCGCAGUUAUUAGAUCAAAAACCAAUCAGCAGCAUUCUCGGAUGCAGCUGUCUUUUGGUGAAACUGAGUAACCACAGCAAACCGUAUAGCCUCGCGCUUGACGGUCUGUAGGUCAAGCAACUGCCUUAUCAGCUUGUUGUUAGGUUACAUGCCUAACAAGGCGUCAACGGGUAACGAACGAUCGGGGUCGGACAUCGGAGAGGGAGCCUGAGAAACGGCUACCACUUCCAAGGAAGGCAGCAGGCGCGCAAAUUACCCACUUCUAGCACAGAGAGGUAGUGACGAGAUGUAUCGAUGCGGAGCCUUUAGUGCUUUCGUAAUCGGAAUGAGUACACUUUAAAUCCUUUAACGAGGAUCUAUUGGAGGGCAAGUCUGGUGCCAGCAGCCGCGGUAAUUCCAGCUCCAAUAGCGUAUAUUAAUGCUGCUGCGGUUAAAAAGCUCGUAGUCGGAUUUGGGUUUCCGGCGGACACUACAGUGUGCUUCUUGCAUGCUGCUUGUGUUAUACGUGCCACUUUGGUGGUACUGCUGGCAUGACGCUAUCUCAUUGUAGGUACGGCAUGUCAGUCGCCGGGACCACGGGCCGGGCUGAAUUUCAUGCUCUUUAUUGAGUGUGUUGUUCACUCGGUGCGUUUACUUUGAAAAAAUUGGAGUGCUUAAAGCAAUCGUAUAUCUGCAAAUGCGGACUGAACAGUGGUGCAUGGAAUAAUAGAAUAGGACCUCGGUUCUAUUUUGUUGGUUUUAAGAUAUCGAGGUAAUGAUUAAGAGGGACAGACGGGGAGAUUUGUAUUGCGACGUUAGAGGUGAAAUUCUUGGAUCGUCGCAAGACAAACUAAUGCGAAAGCAUUUCUCUAGAAUGUUUUCAU
rnacentral:rRNA from 1 species